rnacentral:lncRNA from 1 species
UGUAGUCAUAAUAGCAGAUUUGAUGGCUGCGGGACUCCAGGUUGGAUGGUAGGUUUUGAGAAGACCCGCAAUGCCAGCAACAUGAGGACAGGCCAUAGAAGUUCCUUGUUGCACAUUGAAAAGAGUCCUACGUGUAUCUGAUGCAAGAUUAGAAGGACCCGCGGCUUGUGAAAAGGCAGCAAUUAUACCCACACCCGGACCAGUUAUGUCAGGCUGAAACACAUUAACAAACAAAUUACCUUACAAAUCAAAAAUCACGCAUCUUCCCAUGUUUUUAUAACAAAAUGUAAAGAUAUAUUGUAGACCUUUAGUAUCAACGGUUGCACCAGACUAGGACCCCUAGAUGAGAAUCCAGCCAUGAUUGGAGCUGGCUUUACAUUUAGAUGUGUUUUUGCAGCACUCAAGUAGGCAAAUAUCCUGCAACAUAUUUAUAAAUUCAUGGAAUGCUUCACUAUAUACACACAGAAUUAAUACGAGGUAAUAAUAUAUGACUUUACCCGCCACCGCCGCUUGUACCGGCGGCUGUACGAUUGGCAUAAUCAGUAUCUGUUCCACUUAUACUUCCAGCAGGUAAAACUUGAUUUUCGGCCAGAAGUAAAUUUCCACUUUCCUUAUCAUUCUGCACCAAAACUGCCACAGCACCGGCAAGUUUACCCUGUUCACCCUCUUUAACAGAUUGUAAUUUAUCACUUCGAAGACAGACAAGUAUUUUCCCUUUUACUUUGGUAGGAUCAAGAGUUCCCGGUUUGCAAACACGCCUGCACCAACAUACACAUGUGAGGCAACAAGUAUAAGUGUUUGAAGCAAUGCUGGGAAAUAAAAAUAGAGCUUACGCGUCAUCAGCGGAGGCAUUACGAAGCUUUGCUUUGACAGAAAAUAUGAUGGGAUAAAACUUUCGCUCAUUUCGUCGAAAGCCUCGAUUAAGACUGGCAACCUGAUAGAAGUGCAGUGAAAUUAUUAAGUGAAUAAAACAAAAGUACAAAUGCAUGUUGAGAAUAGGAUAGAAAGAUGAUACCUCAACUUUUUUGUCCUUGCCAAGAGAAAGGGUGCUGAGGAAAUCCCUAUCCAUGGUGCUGGCAGCAACGGUGAAGGACCAGGGUGCGACGUUUGUGACAGUUGAAGGUGAGGGGCCAUCAUUUCCAGCAGAGCAAACAACGACAAUAUUUUUUUGGACUGCAUGGAAUGAUCCUAUAGAAAUACCAUCCGUUAACAGAGCUUCCCUGUAGGGAUUGGACCAACCAAUAGAGGCGGAGAUGACAUCAACGCCAUCAUAAAUUGCAUGAUCAAAAGCUGCCAGUAAAUCUGCUUCGUGGCACCCUCCUGUGUCCAGUUUAUUCCAACAUGCUUUGUAGGCCACAAGGCGAGCUUUUGGGGACCCUCCCUUAGCAGUGCCUUUGCCAUUACGUUCUACAUUCGCACCAGGAACAAAUCUACCACCUGCAGUUGAUAAAGUGUGGCUCCCAUGCCCUACGAAGUCACGUGCACUGCGGAACGCGCUCUCAAUCUUCCCAACUUCCGCCUCGCGAUUCUUCAAGAAUAUUCUUGCUCCGAUCAACUUCCUGAAUCUUCUACUAUGUUAGCUUCUACCACGUUUCCCAUACGACGACACCGUUUUUCAAUGAUAAACAUUGCAGCAAUAAUAUACUAAUAUAUGGGUAAAGUAAUCUUUCGCUUUACGAUGAUUGAAAUAAGAAAGAAAAAUGACCUGUUACAAAAAUGUUUUUGUGUAGUGUUAUAACUGUCAAUUUCACAAACACCUUUCCCGCGCCACUUUUCAGGUACUGCCCGGUAUCCUUUGUCGUUAAAGCUUGGGUGUUCUGGCCAAACUCCUGCUCAACAGUAAGUGAAUUAGCAUAAAAAUGUAUAGAAUAAUGGAUCUCUAUAUAUCACUACAUAUAGAUACAAAUUCAAAUUUCUAUUAGAAAAUAUAUUUUUAAAUUCAAUAUUUAUAAAGAUUUUAAGAUUUUAUAUUGAAAGUAUACUUAUGACUCCUCUCUGAUGAAAGAUCCAACAUUUAUCCAACAUUACAAAUAUUAAUAUGAAUUUAUUUAAUUGGAGAGGAUCGCGAGAUAAUUAUUUUAGCAUUUUCUAGUUAUCCUAUAAUUUUAUUCGUAUGCAAACAUUUUGUUUUCCAUUUUUAAUUCAGUUUUAGAAAAAGAAAUGAUAUUGAACAACGAUGCUAACAAUGCAGCACCAAGAGUGGAAUUGAAGUAUUUAAAAAAUUAUUUAAUACAAUUAUAAGACAUGGUCAACUGUUAAAGAAUUUGAUUAAAUGAUGUUUUAAUUUCAAAAUAAUGAUGAUUAAAUUAAGAAUAGUUUGGAGAUUUCUUUUAUAGUUAAUAAAAUAGUGUUACUCGGAAGCUUUUGACUAAAAGAAAUUAAGUUAACAUACAUCUAAAAUAUAAUUAGUUUUGUUGAAUAAUUGGUUAAAUGAGUAUUAUUUUAAAAAUUAUUGUCUCUAAGCCAAGAAGAAUAAUAGCCCUUAAUUAUAGGCAUAAUUUUAUUAAUUAUUAUAUUAAAGUUGACUUGAAAAAGAUUUAAAAUAUAUUAUAACAAAGGAAAAUAAUAUUUUCACACCAAUUUUUUGACACCAUUUUGACACUGCACACGUGUUAAAAUGUGGUUGGAUAAUUUCAAAUUAAAAAAAAAAAUGGUUUUUUUCUUCCAAAUAUACUCUUGUCUCAGUUUUAUUAAUUUGAAAUCGUCCAACCACGUUUUGACAUCUGUGCAGUGUCAAAAUAGUGUCAAAAAUUGAUGUUAAAAUAUCAUUUUCUUGUAACAAAAUGUGACUACUGUGAAUUUGAUUAAAUAAAUAUUUCAAUUUAAAAAUGUCACAUGAUAUAAAAAUACCACUUAAGAGUAUAGAAGGGGUCUGUGUAUACCAAGUGGUGCAGGUCUCUCGUAUCUCAAACUUCCAUGGGUGAUCAUCACCAUAAGUUUUAAAUAAAGAGCAAGCAAACCUGUAUCAAUGUUGGCUAUGAUUGUGUUUUCCCCAUAUCUUGCUUUUCUCCAAGCAGAGUUUUCAGCAACUUUUCCAUUCUUUUCCAGUCCCAGAAAAUCCCAUGACCUCGUAGUGUGCAAUUUGUGCUCUUUGCUCAAGAAAACAGAAACUACCUCUGGGUACUCUGUUUCACACCAAAAUUGUGUGGCUUCGAUAUAUGCACAAAAUAAGGGACAUGCUAAUAAUCACACAAACAAUAUCUGCUUACCUGCAAUUUCUGCUGCUUCUUCCUCUUCAAGCAAGGCCGCGAAGCCAUUGAUAUGCUUGUUGUAAGAGUACAUUAUUGCUUCCUUUGCGUCCUCAUGACUGUUAAAGUAACAGACUUUAAUAAAUGCCAAUGUCAGGAUAACAUUAAUUUAACAGAACAAAUGUGUUAGUUGUAUUACCUUCCUAAGACAGAAGCGAGUAAUUCAUGAUGGGAAUUUGUUGCUGUUUCAAGAUCAGUGGGAGAAGGCUCUGGACCAUGAGAGUGCCCUCCCAAGUACACAAUGUACGUCUGAAAACAGAGCACCCAUGAUUAAAUUUCUGUGUUACAUCUGUUCAAUAAAUUAACAGUGAAAACAUGAAAUGCAAUGCAGAGGUUACUUGCCUUUCUAAGGGCAUUGGCGGGUUCCUGCAAGAAAGUGCAGAGAAGGAAUGAUGACAGAAGAAGUUUGAAGACGGAGAAUGUCAUCACUCUCAUGUAACUUCAACUCUUUGUUUUGGUGUGCUCUGUUCCACUCCUCUGCCUCUGCUUAUAUUGGGAAAAAAAGUAUCAACUAUUUACCCUGUUUUUUCCUUUCUAUCAUACUUCAAUUUCACUUUUUUUAUCUUUCCCAUUUUGUUUAUCAUGGUAUCAUUCAAUAAAUUAUUAUAUAAAUUAUUUUUCCAUUUUUUCUUAUUCUUUUCACUUCAUUGUACUUCCAAAAAAAAAAAAUUCAUUGCACACUCAUCAGUAUUUCCUUUGUACUUUAUUCUAUAUAAAUCCGCUUUCCUUUUAUUGGUGUAUGAUUAUGACAUGAGAAUGAUUGAUGUACGAAAGGUACAUAUACUUAGCAACUGAUAAAUAGAUGCUCAUAAAAAAAAAAAAAAGAGUAGUGUAUAUAAAGAUGGAUAUUAUUUAUAAUUUAAGUCUGUAUUUUUCUUAUAUUUGAGAUAUUUUAUCUUCAUGUAAUAUUUGUAGUCUUAUCAAUAUAAAAAAUAUAUUUGAUAAAUUUAAGCAAAAGUAUCUUCAAAUGUAAGUACAGUUCAAUGAAUGAUUAAAUAUAAAUUAUAGUUCAAUUAAAACAAUUAUUUACAUCAACAUGCAUGGAAUAUGUUGUAAAGAAAAUAAGAUAUUAAACUUAACGAAACCUAAUAAUUAUAUGAAACGAAUAAGAUAUGAAAACCUAAUUUUAUAUUUCUUUCAAAGGUAAUCUUCAAAAUUGAAUUUAUUAAUUAUAUGACACCAAUAAAAGUUUAGAUUUAGAUAAAUUGUUAGUAUAUAAAAGUCCUUUUAUAUAUAUAGCUUAAAAAAUAUCUAUAUCAAUUUCGAACUAGUAUAGAUACAAAUGAUAUAGAAAAUUAAAUUUUUUUAUAAUGGUUAAAAUUAUAAUCAAUAUAAAAAGUCCACUUUAGAUAAUUUGUUAUUUUUUCUUUUUUCUCUUUUUCUCUUUUUUGUAUAUGUCAUGUUCUGCUUGCAUUAUGAAAUAUAUGUUUUUAUUGCCUCUUUCACAAUUUCACAUCUACUAUACUGCACCUUCACCAUUUUUCCUCAAUUUUUCAUCUUCUCCAACAUGCACUAGAAAACAUAAUGUUACAACACCUCGUUCAAAGUCAUUGAAUCACUACAUGAAAUUCUUUAAAUUCCUAGUCUUUUAAGGAGAGUGGAAAUGUGAUUAAUAAACUUUUUAUAAAGACAAGGUAUAUUUAGUGUUGGUUUUAAUAGUUGUAAAUUUUAAAUUCCUAAUAUUGGAUGCAAAUAAUGAUAUCUUAUCCUUUUACUUUUGUUGUGAGUUGUAAUUGUAAUGAUUAUAUUUAACACAAUGAACUUCUAUCUUUAUGUUAUUUAAAGAUUAAAUAUGUUUUUAAUUUUUAAAUUUAGACAUAAAAUUAAAAUUUGUUAAUUUCUUAAACUUUAAAAUUAAUUAAUAUAAUAUUUUUAAUUAAAUAUUUUUAAAUUUACUUUAAACAUAUUUUAAGUUAAUAUUUGAGUUGAAACGUACUAAAUAGUAUAUUAAAUAGUGUUAAAGCAAUUGGAUUAAUAAAAUCGUAUCUAUUCACUUUUAAAAUUUAAAGAUCAAAUUGUAUUAAAAUUUGAGAUAACAUGUCAAAGUUUAAUUAAAUACUUAAAAAAUACUUAAUCCUAUUAUUUAACUCUUUUCAAUUUAUAUGAGAUUAUAUUUAUAUGUUUUCUAAACUUAAGUUCCUGAGUUUCAUAUGUGCUUGUCUUUACAUGCGUGUGAAUUAAAUUUUAAAAACUUUCACAUCAAAAUUUUGAAAAAAGAAAUAAAAAAUUAAGUAAUUUACUUUUAAAUUAGCAUCAAUAAUAUAAUAGAAUAAUGUUAUUCCGAAGGUCAUAUCGUAAGAUCUCUCAUUUUAGACAUGCAUCUUAUAAUUUUUUUUAUUAGAAUAUAUUAUAUGACAUAAUAUUUAAGAUACAAAAUUUUAAAUAAUAAAUAUAGAAGAUUCAUUUUUUAAAAAGACAACUGUCCACCCAAUUCUAGUAGAAAAAAUAUUAUUAAAGUAAAUUAAUGUCGUAUUGAAACAAAAAUUACAUUAAAAUCUCAGAAACAAUAUAACAAAGUGAUAAAACAAAAAAGUUAAAACCUUAUAUUAUAAACAUUCCAAUGAAAAUAACCUAAAAUGUUUUAAAAAAAGUGAUACUCGUAUCCACAUUAAAUUCUAGUUAAUUAACCAUUUAAAAAUUCGGUUCUUUAGUAUAUAUAUUGGAUUUCUUUUUAUAUAGAAUAUAUCUUGUUCUUUUAAACGGUCCACGGUCAGCCCCAUAACUACCACUGCUUCUAUGUACCUACCAUGACAUAGAAUAGAGAAAAUGAAGUUACGAGGAAGCAAAGUAACACAGAAGACACUUAUAACUACAAGAAGCAUUAUUCUUGCACCGUUGGCGGUAGUAACAGAGCAGAGAAUAUGGGGAAGAAAAGUAUAAUUUUGUUCCCAAUUUAAGUCAUUGGUUAGCCAAUCACCAUUGUUAAGUGGAAAGGGAAAAUUUUCUAAGAAACUUCUCUGCCAUAUUAUCUCCAAUAACGAAAGAGCUACUUACUUUAGUUCCAAUGUUUGUGCCAAUUACGAACGAACUAGUUCAGAUGCAACAAAGUUCAAUACCACAACAGUCUAAACAUACCUUAGUUUUGUGACAAAGUUGAAUGCAACAGGAAUAGGAAACACACCUAAAUAUAACCUAUAAACAAUAGCAAACACAAAUACAAACACAAAUGACAAAGAUGACCGUAAAUAAUAUGGUUACAACACUGUAAUAGGACUAGUUACAUUGUGUUUGCCAUCUGUCCAAGUCAAAUUCCCAAAUAAAGGUAACCCUCUGGGCGUUGCAAUUGCCUGCAGAAUAACCCAAAACCUCUUCUUUUCUCCAGUUCUCUUAAAAGUCAAGGAGGUUGGUAGGACACGAACCUUUAUCCCCCUGGGCCCAUGAGCAUUCACAACAUACGUGCCUGGAGCUCCAACGUUUGUAACAAUGCGAGUAACAUUUAUAGGCUUUGAGGCAGGAUGAUGCACCGUAAUAGAAGGAUAAUUCAGAUCCUCGAUUCUGUAAGACUCGGGACAUUUGUAAGAGAUUUUAUAAUUGGAAAACAAUGUGAGUAGAGCUUGAUUGUAACCAGAAGCACAUAAGAAGUUCAAGUAAUCAGUUGUGUUUAGAUCAUAAACGAGUCCAGGGUCUAUUGCAAGGUUAGGCCGAACAAGUCCAGCUCCGUACUCGAAUGGAGUUGCUACCUUAUCAAAUGCAUCCCGGAUUGGUUUAUUCGUGUUAUCUAGAGUGGUAGCUGAAAUAAAUCAAGAACAUAGUUGUUGAUAAGACACCAUGAUAACAUGUUGCGCUUGAACAUUUUGUAUUUUAUGAAUACGAGAAAACAUUUUGUUAAGCAUGCAUGGUGUACCUGUAGUCAUAAUAGCAGAUUUGAUAGCUGCGGGACUCCAGGUUGGGUGGUACGUUUUGAGAAGACCUGCAAUGCCAGCAACAUGAGGACAGGCCAUAGAGGUUCCUUGUUGCACAUUGAAAAGAGUCCUUCGUGUAUCUGAUGGCAGAUUAGAAGGACCCGCGGCUUGUGAAAAGGCAGCAAUUAUACCCACACCCGGACCAGUUAUGUCAGGCUGAAACACAUUAACAAACAAAUUACCUUACAAAUCAAAAAUCACGUAUCUUCCAAUGUUUCUAUAACAAAAUGUAAAUAUAAAUUAUAGACCUUUAGUAUCAACGGUUGCAACAGAUUAGGACCCCUAGAUGAGAAUCCAGCCAUGAUUGGAGCUGGCUUUACAUUUAGAUAUGUUUUAGCAGCACUCAAGUAGGCAAAAAUCCUGGAACACAUUUAUAAAUUCAUGGAGUACUUCCCUAUCACACACACAGAAAUAAUACGAGGUAAUAAUAUAUGACUUUACCCGCCACCGCCGCUGGUAACAUUGGCAAAAUUAGUAUCCGUUCCACUUAUACUUGCAGCAGGUAAAACUUGAUUUUCGGCCAGAAGUAAAUUUCCACUUUGCUUGUCAUUCUGCACAAAAACUGCCACAGCACCGGCAAGUUUACCCUGUUCACCCUCUUUAACUGAUUGUAAUUUAUCACUUCGAAGGCAGAUAAGUAUUUUCCCUCUUACUUUGGCAGGAUCAAGUGUUCCUGGUUUGCAAAUACGCCUGCACCAACAUACACAUGUAUAAGUGUUUGAAGUAAUGCUGGGAAGUAAAUGUAAAAAUAAAAAUAAAAAUAGAGCUUACGCAUCAUUAACUGAAGCAUUACAAAGUUUUGCGUUGACAGAAGAUAUAACGGGAUAGAACUUUCGCUUGUGUCGUGGCAAUCCUCGAUUGAAACUGGCACCCUGAUACAAGUGCAGUCAAAUUAAGUUUACAAAACAAAAGUACACAUGCAUGUUGAGAUAGGAUAGAAAGAUGAUACCUGAAGGUGUUUUUUCUUGCCAAGAGAAAUGGUGCUGAGGAAAUCCCUAUCCAUGGUGCUGGCAGCAACAGUGAAAGACCAAGGUGCAACGUUUGUGACGGAUGAACGUGAGGGGCCAUCAUUUCCAGCAGAGCAAACAACGACAAUAUUUUUGGCAACUGCAUGGAAUGAUCCAAUGGAAACACCAUCCGUUAACAGAGCUUCCUUGUAGGGAUAGGACCAACCAACAGAGGCGGAGAUGACAUCAACGCCAUCAUAAAUUGCAUGAUCAAAUGCUGCCAGUAAAUCUGCUUCGUGGCACCCUCCUGUGUCCAGUUUAUUCCAACAUGCUUUGUAGGCCACAAGGCGAGCUUUUGGGGACCCUCCCUUAGCAGUGCCUCUGCCCUUACGUUCUACAUUCGCACCAGGAACAAAAUUACCACCUGCGGUUGAUAAAGUGUGGCUGCCAUGCCCUACGAAGUCACGUGCGCUGCGGAACGUUCUCUCAAUCUCCCCACCUUCCGCCUCGCGAUUCUUCAGGAAUACUCUUGCUCCAAUCAGCUUCCUGAAUCUUCUACUACGUUAGCUUCUACCAUGUUAUCCAUUCCAUAUUAACAUUUUCCAAUGAUAAACAUUUCAGUUAUAAUGUACCAAUUUCACGGGUAAAGUAAUCUUUCACUUUAUGAUGACUGAAAUAAAAAUGUAAAUGUUGAAAUAAGAAAUAAAAAAUGACCUGUUACAGAAAUAUUUUUGUGUAGUGUUAAAACUGUCAAUUUCACAAACACCUUUCCCACGCCACUUUGAAGGCACUGCCCCGUAUCCUCUGUCGUUAAAACUCGGGUGUUCCGGCCAAACUCCUGCUCAACAGUAAAUGAAUUAGCAUGAAAAUCUAUAGAAUAAGGGGUUCUCUAUAUAUCACUCAAAAUAUGGAUACAAAUUCGAAUUUCAAUGGCAAAGUAUCAGGAAAAUUAUUUAUCCAUUAACUAUUAAUAAAACUUAAUAUUUUGAGUUGACAGUAAUAAGUUCUCAUUGAGUAUGACUCGUUGGUAUUACAAAUAUUAAUAUAAAUUUAUUAAUCAAAGAGGAUUCAAAAUAAUUAUUUUAAGCAUUUUGUGAUUCUCUUAUAAUUUUUAUUAGUUUAAGUCUUGAAAUCUAUGUACUUUUUCUUCCUAUUAUACUUUGUUCAUUAUAUUGAUAUACACUUUUAAUGGAAUAUUUGUUCUUGGAAUUUGGUUUACUUUAAUUUAAUAAAACAUCAUUUUAAGUAACCAAUUAUGAGUAAGUAAUGUGGUUAAAACCACUUUUUAUCCAUUAUAAUGGUAAUGAUGAGAACAAUUAUGAAAUUUUGUCUCUUGUAGUUAGGGUGACAAAACCUAGUCUCACAUUCGCUUGUAAAAAUGGGAUUGGAUUGAGAUGAUUUGAUAAUUGAAAACGAGUUGAAUUUUAUAAUCUGAUUUAGUUGUUGGAUUGUCGGGAUGUCGAGUUGGUUUGGUUGUUUUUUUUUUUGUUUUUUUUUGUCAUUGAAAAUAAAAUAUCACAUGAAAGUAGAUUGAAAUUUUUUAUUUUUUACAUAAAAAUGUGUUGAUGACGGGUUGUUGUUUAGAACAUUUCAAAUUUAGAUCAAGUUGUAUCAUAUCUUGAUCGAGCUCUUGACUACUCUAUAUCAAACCUCAAUCAAGUUUUAUGAUACUUAAACUGAAAUGUCAUGCUGACCCGAUUGACCCACAUAAUUAGUCUAUUGGAUUGUUGGGUUUGGUAGGCCAAGUUGAUUUAGACUCACAAGUUAAAAAUAUUAUCCAAACCUGUCUUUGUUAAUCAGACUAAGAAGUUGGUAUGCUAAACUUGAUCUUUUUUUCAUCCUUACUUAUAGUUUAAUAAUUUAUAAAUUAAAUUUUUCUUUAAGAUUCAAGUAGCAUCAAUUAAGUAACCUUAAUUUUUCUUCUCCUUAUUUAAUCACAUAAUUUCUCAUGGAUAAUAAAUAUAUUUUUAUUAGAAUAAAAUGUAAUUAAAGUAUAACUCUUAGCGAUAUUUUUUAAUAUCUACCCAUGUGCAUGUGAGCGUCAUCUCUGAUAUUUUUUAUGCUUUAAUAUGACUCUAUCUUGAAUUUUUUUUUUUCAAACUCAUCAAUUUUUGUUUCAUAGAUUCCUUACAAAAUUACUUUGUAUAUUGAAACAAGAUUAUUUAAUCUACAUAGGAGAAUGAAAAUAGUUAACAUCAAGCAUAUAUUAGAGAGGCACAGCUACAUAUAUUUGAUUAAAUUCCAACGUUAUCAAUUUUUAUUUUUAAUAUAUAGAUAGAUAGAUAGAUAGAAUUUUUAAAAUAUUUAAUUAUUUAUGUUAUAAAUAUUCACAAAGAAAUUUAUUCAAACAUUUUUUUUAUAUUGAAGUAAAAUAUUAGUUAUAUAUUUGGAUAUAGUUUAAAACACAUUCUUUCAUAACCUCUCAAUCAUAAAAUUAUAAAAAUGAUUUUUAAGUAAUUUAAAAUGUUUUUUUUAUAAUAUCCCAGAAUAUUAUUAGGUAGUGAUAAACAGAUUAUGUAAAUAUAAUAUAAAAUUAAAAAAAGAAUCUUAAUUUUUGAUCGACUUUUCUAACUAUUAAAAUAUAAAUUUUAUAAGAUGUUUUCAAUAGAGGAAAAAUUGUAAUGAUAUUUUGAAAAUAAUAUGAUAUAGGAAAAUUAUGUUUUGAUAAUUGAGAUCAUUUUACAAUAAGAGAUGAUCUUUUAAUAAAAAAAAAAAUUGUAUCACAAUGCAUAGAAGUGAGGAAAACAUACUAUCUUUUUUCAAAUAAAAACUUAAAAUGAUUUUUGUGUCAAAAUAUGAUGAUAUAAUCGUUAUUUUAUGAAAUUUGAUCCGCGAUCACCUUAGUAGAUUUAAUAAGUUAUGAAUAAAGAACAAGUAAACCUGUAUCAAUAUUAGCUAUGAUUGUGUUUUCGCCAUAUCUUGCUUUGGUCCAAGCAGAGUCUGCAGGAACUUUUCCAUCCUUUUGUUCCAGUCCCAGAAAAUGCCAUGAUCUCGUAGUGUGUAAUUUGUGCUCUUUGCUCAAGAAAACAGAAACUACCUCUGGGUACUCUGUUUCAGACCAAAAUUAUGUGGCUUCAAUAUAUGUACGAAACGAGAAAGAUGCUGACAAUCACAUAAACAAUAUCUUCUUACCUGCAAUUUCUGCUGCUUCUUCCUCUUCAAGCAAGGCCGCGAAGCCAUUGAUAUGCUUGUUGUAAGAGUACAUAAUUGCUUCCUUUGCAUCCUCAUGACUGUUAAAGUAACAGACUUUAAUAAAUGACGAUGUCUCGAUAACAUUAAUUUAACAGAACAAAUGUGUUAGUUGUAUUACCUUCCUAAGACAGAAGCGAGUAAUUGAUGAUGGGAAUUUGUUGCUGUUUCAAGAUCAGUGGGAGAAGGGUCUGGACCAUGAGAGUGUCCUCCCAAGUACACAAUGUACGUCUGAAAACAGAGCACCCAUGAUCAAAUUUCUAUGUUACAUCUGUUCAAUAAAUUAACAGUGACAACAUGAAAUGCAAUGCAGAGGUUACUUGCCUUUCUAAGGGCAUUGGUGGGUUCCUGCAAGAAAGUGAAGAGAAGGAAUGAAGAGAGAAGAAGUUUGAAGAUGGAGAAUGUCAUCACUCUCAUGUAACUUCAGCUCUUGUUCAUGAGUGCUCUAUUCCACUCCUCUGCCUCUACUUAUAUUGGGAAAAGAAGUAUCAUUGUUUUUUCCAUUUCUGCUUCUAUUUUACUUUCAUCUUGCUUUUAACUUCAUUUGUUAGUGGAGACUUUUAAUAUGUUUAAAAUUUCUACUUUGAUGUUCAUUUUCUUUUCUAUGUCUAACUUUGGUUUCAAUAAAAAAUUUAAUUAUAUAUAUAUAUAUAUAUAUAUAUAUAUAUAUAUAUAUAUUGAUAACUUUUUGACAAGUAUACCAAAUCGUUACAAGUAAUACAGGGAUAAAGUCCAGUAUCGUUCUCCCAAAGGAAUUUGAGUUAAGUUGUUCAAUUUAACAGUAUUUAUCAAAAUCAAUUUGACAACAAAUUAUAAUCUGAUUCAGUGAACUGAAAGUAAGAAAUUAACAUAAUAUUAAAAUUUGAAAAUUAAAGAUGGAAGAAAGCUUAGUUGGAAUUGACUUCAUGGCUACUAGUAACUUUUCUGAACAAUAUAAUUUGCGUUCAAACAUUAACAUCACAGUAUCUUGGUUUAAUCCCUUAAAACAAGUUCUAAAGAAUUAUGCUCAAUUAUUAAUUUCUUAAGUAAUUAAACAUAACCUUUGCAUUAAGAUCUGAUGUUUAUAAAUGACCAGAAGAAUUGAAACCAUUCCUAGCAUCGUUCCUUCUGGUUGUUUUUCUUACCUUCAUACUCAAAUUUACUUCCCAGUACAAUUUGAAUAUAUUAAAUAUAUUAUACUUUCGUAUAAUCACAAGUAAAACAAGAAAAGCAUAUCAAUUCCAACGAACAGAAAUUUAGUCUAUCCUAGACAUCACAAACGUACUCAUUUCAGCAAUUCCUUGCAUCAUGUGCAGUCUUGAUGUCUUCAGAGAGUCUUCUGAUGGUCUUCUCUCCGUAUCCAGAGCAGUUCUGUAUUUUUUUUGAAUGUCAGAAGCUAUCCUCUGCCCUCUCUGUCACGUCCUUAAAGAGCAGUUAAUUAUUUUAAUUCGCUCAGCGCACAAGAGUGUAUUCGCUAUGCGAAUUAAUUUUAAUUAUACACUCAACUGCUGUAAUUCGCUAAGCGCACAGUCUCUGGCGCGCUAUGCGAAUUAAUUUUUCUGUUGCACUUCAACUUUGUCAUUCGCUCAGCGCACAAAUAUUGGUUCGCUGUGCGAAUUCCUUUUGCUGGCUCUGCGAAUUUGUUUGCGCUAUGCGAGAAUUGGCUGACAGCUUCCCCUUUAUAUAAUUUUUUCCUAAACAAAAAUUUACGUAAUAAUCUACUUCCUAUUACAACUUUUCACUGAGUAAAAACAUAAAUAAUUACAAGAUUGAGACAAUUUAUAAAUGUAAAAACAAUUGUUUUUCACACUUAUCAUAUAUAUAUAUAUAUAUAUAUAUAUAUAUAUAUAUAUAUAUAUAUAUAUAUAUAUAUAUAUAUAAUCUUAUAUUUAAAAACUUAUCAUAUUUAUAAUUUAUAUAUAUCAUUUCUGCUUCUAUUUUACCUGUAAUUAACUCUAAUGUCACAAGAUUAAUAUCAUAAACACUUUACUAUGUUUCUAUUUCUUAAAAACACAUGCAUAAUAUUAUGUAUAGAGAUUUAAAUUUAUUAUAUUACAUUCAUUAAGUUAUACUACAAUAAAAUUACAUAAUCGGAAUAAAGUUCACUUACCAGACCCCUUUUUUUGUUAGCAUCACAUACUUAUAAAAAAAAAACAUCUUUAACUUUUAUCACCUAAUAUGUCCAAUAUUAAUUGAGUGAAAACAUCUCAAUCUUAAUUUAAACAUCUUAAAAUAAUAUUUCAAUUCAUAUGAAUAACUUUUAAUUCAUCACAUAAAAGUGAUGAUAUAAAUAUAUAAAAAUCAACAUUCCAUUCAUGGCCAAAUUUAUUAAAGUGAUAAACUAACAAUUAGAAAAAGGUAGCAUGUAACAAAAUUUUGUUAGUUUGGAUGAAUAUUAAUUCUAUUGUUUGAAAGAAAAAAAAUGUUGUCGAUAAUAAGAUUAAAAUUAUAUUUUAUUUUCACUUAAAUAAAAAUUCUUUACUUAAAAAAAACGAGAUAUAGACCAAUUAUAUGUUCAAAUUUGUUUGAAAAAAAAAUCACAAAGUAUAAAAAAAAGAACAAAUAUUAAAAUUUACUUCGUCAUAUUUUCAGUUGAAUAAAAAUGUCACUUCAACAAAAUAUUAACAUAAUCAUCAAACAAAAUCAAUUAAGUUUUAAUUUCUUUACUCAAAAUUAAUAUAACAAUUUCCAACUUGUAAACAAUAUAACUAUGAUUUAUUCAAAAUAUAACUUGUACUUUUAUUAAAAUCAUAAAUCAAAACCUAUUAACUAUAUAAAGAAUAAUUAUUCUCAACAAAAUUCAUUAUUGAAAUUCAACAAUUUUCAUAACUUAACCUAUAAAGGUUUAAUCAUCAUUUUAAUAACUCGACAAUAAUAUUUGUAACAGCUUAAUUUUAACCGUUUACAACUAAUAAAAUAAUAUAUUAUAAAAUUAAUAAACAAAUUCUCUCAUCAUAUAAAUAUAUAAUCUUAAUAUAAUUAUAAAAAAAUAAUAGGUAAAAAUUAAAAAAUAAUAAUGAAGGAAUAAUUCUUUCUUUUUAUCAUGUUUUUUUUCAUUUCAUUUUAUUUGUUUUAUUUUAUUUAGUUUUAUGAUGUUUUAUUUUAUGUUAUUUGAUUUCAUUUUGUUUUAUUUUAUUCUAUUGUAUUUUUGUUUUGUUUUUGUAAUUAAUUUUAUUUUAUGUAGUUUUAUUUUUAUUUAUUUUGUUUUUGGUAUUUUUUAUUUUAUUUUAUCGAUUUGAUUUGAUUUAUUUUGGUUGUAUUUGAUUUGAAUUUAUUAUUUUGUUUUAUUUUUUUUAUCUUAGUUUUUUUAAUUGUGUGCUUCUUCUUUUUGAGAAAAGCCCCACGAGCUCCAGCAGUGCUUUUUCUUUCCUUCAUUCAGCCAUCACCAACUUUUUCACUAUUCUAAAUCAAAUUAUUCUCCUACUAAACAGAUUCCACCUCCCUCAAUAAUUCCAACUCACUUUCGUCUCCAGCUUGGGAUCACUAACCCAAAUUUCGUUAAUGUAAUUGCAACUACCAUAUUUGAAUAUGGGUUAAAAUGAAUUGCAUGUACCACGACGGAAAUAUAAUAUUCUGCAACUGCUUUCAUUCCCUUUAAAAACACCCAAAAGAAAAAGGAAGAGCAUUUUCAAAGCUCGAGGUACAUUUUGAAGCACUCGAAGACCAAUAAGUAGUAGAGACUUUAUCCAUCAUUCCCCCACCAAGUUAUCAAAUCGGAGAGAGACUCGAAUAAACUUGACUUAUAAACAUAGAUGAAAAAAUUAUAUAAAUAAUAUCUUAAUUCAAAUAAAUCUAUAAAAUUAUAUAAUUUUAAACAAAUAAAAUUUAUAGAUAUAUUAUUCAUAAAAAUAAAUAUUGUAAAAUAUAAGUACUUAGAUUAUUAUCAUUAAUUUUGAUACAUUUCAUUAAAUAUAUAAUAUAAAAAAAUUAUAGCAGUACCAUAGAGAGACAGAGAGACACCAUAUACAGUGACAGUUAGGUUAUGAAACUCUAAACUCCAAAUGACGUGUUUUUUUUUUAAUAUUUCUUUCUUUCAAGCUCACAUAAUAGCUCUAAACUUACAAUUCUACCAAAUUUAUGCAUAAAACGAGUUUACUUUUGAAUUAAUUCGAAAACCAUAUAUGAAAACAUAAACUCAUACAAAUUUACCAAUUAACUCGAAAAUUUGAUAAUGAUCCGAAAAACUCACCCAGUUAAUCUUUGCCUUCCUUUCAUCUACUCACCAAUCUUCAUAUAGUGCAAUCUACGUUUUUUCUUUCUUUCCUUUUCUACUUCUGUAUAUUCUUAAAGAUCUUGGCCUCUUUUCCCUCCAUGGCAUCCCUAAAAUCUGCAUUCAGCCUUGACUUACUUUUCUGGGACAUCCCUAUUUUUCAUUCCUGCAACCCUAUUAUCAGUUGUUUUAUCAGAUUGCACCCCAAUUCUUAUUCUCAUAUGACCUUAUUUGUUAGCUGCACCCCAAACACUCACUUUUUAAUAUAAAUAAAUAAAUAUUUAAUAAAAAAUCAUAAAAAUAAAAAAGUAUAAAAUUAUAAAACUAGAACAAUAAUUUUAAAGCUUGUAAUAGUAUUUUUUCAAAUAUUAUUUUUCUUAAAUAAAAAGGAUAAAUCAUAAAAUUAUAAAAAAUAUAUAGUUUAGUAUCUGUUAAUAAUCAAAUAUAGUUUUAAUAUUAUUUUCUAAAAUAAUUAUGUAAAUAUUCUCAUUUUACAAUUUCAUUUCAAAUAUUUAUGCAAAUAAUACCAUCCUUUUUAUUGUAAAUACUUAGAUAAAUAAUACCGUUCUUUUAUAUUAAAACCUUAUGUAAAUAUAAUUACUAUUUUUAUAAUUUAUUUUAAAUAUUUAUGUAAAUAUUAGUUUAGUAUUAUAAAAAUUACAAAAUGAAAGAUAAAAAGUAAAAAUUAUUAAAUAGAAAAAUAAAAUAUUAAAUAGUGGUAUGAUUAUUCGUGCAAUCGUAUGCAUUAGUCUAGUACUCAUUAUCCAAAAUAAUAAAAUAAUCAAAUAACCGUAUGAGUACUCGUGCGAUAGUGCUUACUACCCUCAAUUCUUCAAUUAUAUAAAAAAAAUACCAAAAAAUUACAAAGUAUCCAAAAAGCUAAAAAUAUCAAAAUUCUCAUAUAAAUAAUCUUUGUCAAAACUACGUGAUUCUUGAUUCUACAUCAAAAAUAGAGAUACGUAAGAGCAAGCUAGUCCUUGUCAGGUUUAUUCUCCUAAAAAUCCAAAUCAUUUCCCAAAAUUAUUUUCUAUGAAGAAUUUCAAUGAAGUUUAUCAAAAGAACUACGUACUCUUGAUUUCUCACAUAAGAAUACGUAAGAGCAAGGUUAAUCCUUGUCGAACUUCCUAAACAUAAAAAAUACCUUUUGUUUCUUUUGUAUUAUCUUGCAUUGUUAUUUUGAAGAAAAAUGACCAUUUUGAAAACCACAUCAACUUUGUACCGUUAAUUAAAGGUACUGUCGAAGGCAGACCUGUAAGGUGCUAAUACUUUCUUUACAUGUAACCGACUCCCAGAGUCAAAAUCUUGUUUCGCAGAGCAUGUCUUAUUUUAUGGUUUUUAUGUAACUUUCCAGAAUAAACUACGCUAGUGACUCCUAAACACUAAUUUUUAAAGUUUUAUUUAUUCUGAUAAAAGUUUCGUCGUCCCCAUCGUGGUUUCGGUUACGACACUUCGCAACAUUACUGUCCCCCACUAGAGAUGCUUCAAACCUAUCUCUCAUAUGCUCACACCAAUAAAGUGAUCAUCACAAAAAUAAACAAACAUGCACAUUUGUAUCUCACAAGUUAUCCCAGACAUAUGCAUCAUUUGUAUCUCAAUUAUCUUCAACUUCUAUUUCUAGUAAUAUACAAGAAGUUUUAGUAGAUCAUAGAUGGACCAGAACAAUGGUUGAUGAGAUGACAACUUUAGAAUAAAAUAAUACUAAUUGGGAUCUUGUGUCCUUACCAAGAAGGAAGCAAACUAUAGACUGUAAAUGGAUAUUUACAAUUAAGCAUAAAGCUUAUGGAACUAUUGAGAUGUAUAAAGCACGACUUGUGGAUAAAUGUUACACUCAAUCUCAUGGUGUAGAUUACCAAGAGACGUUUGCACGGUAGCCAAGCUCAACACUGUGAGAAUAUUUAUGUCGCUAGCAACAAACCAAGAUUGGCCUCUUCUAUAAUUUGAUAUGCAAAAUGCUUUCCUACAUGGAGAAAUUUCAGAAGAAAUUUAUAUAGAUUCUUACCAAGCAUGAUAGAUUCAAUUGGAAUGAAGGUUUACAAAUUAAAGAAGGCUCUAUAUGGAUUAAAACAAUCCCCAAGAGCAUGGUUUGAAAGGUUUACCAAGUCUAUGAAGACUUUUGACUAUAGAGCAAGUAACUCUAAUCACACCUUAUUUUUUAAGAGAGGAAAAGGAAAAAUUACAGUUUUGAUUAUAUAUUAGAUGACAUGAUUGUUACAGGAAAUGACUAAGAUGAGAUUUCUAGUUUAAAACAAUACCUUGCAUCUGAAUUUGAGAUGAAACAACUUGAAAACCUCAAACAUUUUUUAGGUAUUGAAGUAGCUAGAUCAAAACAUGGUAUUUUCUUAUGCCAAAGAAAAUAUAUUUUUUACUUACUAUCGGAAACUAGGCUGCUUUGGAGUAAACCAGUUUGAUACACUGAUUGAACAAAAUCAUAAUCCCUUUCAAUGCUUAAAGUCAGCAAGCAUAGACAGAGGGAGAUACCAAAGGCUGACAGGAAAAUUAAUUUAUUUGUCCCAUACAUGUCCAGAUAUUACCUAUGCAGUGAAUGUUGUUAGUCAAUUUAUUCAUAUGACCCACGAAAGCUUCAUAUGGAUGCUCUUGAGAGGAUUUUAAGAUAUUUGAAGUCCUUUCUUGGAAAAAGAAUUUUGUUCUCAAAUCAUGGAAACUUAAAGGUAAAAGGGUACACUGAUGCAAAUUGGGCAGUUUAAAAGAUGAUAUGGAUACUUUACUUUUGUAGGAAGAAAUCUUAUAAAUUGGAGGAGUAACAAGAUCUAGUGCUGAAGCAGAAUUCAAAGGUAUGACAAUAGGUGUAUGUGAACUUUUGUGGAUUAAAAAUGUGCUAUCAUAUUUGGGUUUUAAACCAAAUGAAACUAUGAGUUUGUACUGUGACAAUACAAUACAUCAACUAUAGCAAUUGCUCACAAUCUUGUGCAGCAUGAUAGAACAAAGCAUGUAGAGAUUGAUAGACAUUUCAUCAAAGAGAAGCUUGAAGCUUAAAUAAUUUAUUUUCCUUUUGUAAAUUCAAAAUUACAGUUGGUUGAUAUUCUCACCAAAGGAGUGUCAAGCAAGGUGUUUAAUAAUGAGUCUCUAUUCAAGUUGGGAAUGUAUGAUAUUCAUGCACCAACUUGAGUGGAGAUGUUAACAUAUGUCAAAUAUUCUAUUAGUAAAUAUUAGAUAAUCAAAUAUUGUGUUGGCUAUAAUUUAGACAUUAUUAUAAUUUGUGCAAAUUUGUGUAGAUGUCAUUCCUUUAAUAGAUAAAGAAUUAUAUAUAUAUAUAUAUAUAUAUAUAUAUAUAUAUAUAUAUAUAUAUACACACACACACACACACACUAGUGCAGAAAGGACUUUAGACGUCAGUUAUUUUGGGUUUUUAACGUCAUCUCCCGAACCGACGUCUUUACCGGUAACGUUAAUGGGACGUCGGAUUUCUGCAGGUGCGACGUCGAUAUAAACGUCGGUUUAGUUCAAAGAACGACGUCUAUAAAGACAUCAGACAUUGCACUAACCGACGUCUAAGGACACCUUAGACGUUAGUCAGUCACACGUUCGACGUCUAUAAAGUCGUCAAACAUUCCAUUAAUCGACGUUUAUGGGCAUUAUAGACGUCAGACAGUACAUUAACCGACGUCUAUGAAGUGUUCGUUGUGUUUUGGUGCGGUUUUUGUCGUGUCUUGGGGUAGCGUAGUAACACCUCCUUCCUUUGCUAGUUUUUUCGUAAGAAAAAGUUGCGUUUUUUUUAUUUCUUAUGGCAUUUCAACCUAAAGAUGAACUUGGGUCGUUUCCUAGGUCCAUUCCGACCGCCAAUGAAAAAGAAUACGGUCUUUCGUUGGCGGUCAAAAUGGACAUAAGCAACAACCCAAGUUCGUCUUUGGGUUGAAAUGUCAUAAGAAAUCCAAAAAACGCAAGUUUUCCUUACGAGGAAACUAGCAAAGGGAGAAGGUGCACUACGCUACCCAAAGACACAAUAAAAAACCGCACCAAAACACAACGAAAACUCAUUUUAAUCGGUUCAAAUGUGUUAUAAUACAUCAAAGAUUACUUUAAUCAGAGUAAAAACAACUUUAAAUGGUUAAAAGGAGAGAAAAACUUACCUAGAAAUGCAAUGCAGCGGAGAGAAAAGGCGCAGACGAUGAAAGUGUUGGUUCGCAAACCACUGGUUCAUAGGAUUAUUUAACAAGAAAUUCGACGUUAGUUGGAUACAAACCCGACGUCUAUAAUAGCAUAUACGUCGAUUGCCUGACUAAUAAGACGUCCAUUCGAUUUAAAAUUAAUAUUUGUAUUAUAUAUAGACGUCGGCUUGGCGGGAUGAGACGUCUAGUUGGCGGAAACGAAUGACUUUUCACAUACAUAGUAAGACUAUAGAUGUCGGUUACUGAGGCAACGGACGUCUAGAAUUGUAUAUAGACGUCAAUGUGGCGGGAUCCGACGUCUAUAACGCGGAAAAGAGUCACUAUUCACAUACCUGGUAGACAUAUACGCGUCAGUUAGAAGGACCCCGACGUCUAUAUGUCUGACAGGUAGAUGAGUAGCAUUAAUUUCCGCCAUAUAGAUGUUGGGGCCCGCUACGAACUGACAUCUAUAAUGCUGAAAGAAAUGACUUUUCACCUAACUAUCAGAAAUAUAGACGUCAAAUUGAAAAACCCGACGUCUAAAACACUAUAAAUGUCGGAGAUCCAUCUAACUAACGCCUAUAUUACCAACUUAUUUACGAAAAUGCCAUCGGUCAUCAAUAUACGUCGAGCUUACCCUUAACCGACGUUUAACGUGUGACAAUAAACAACGUUUUUACACUAAUAAUAUAUAUAUAUAUAUAUAUAUAUAUAUAAUAAUAUAAUAUAAUAUAGUACUCUUUAAAAUAAUAAAUAAGAAUUAUUCUUUAAACUUUUUUUUAAUUUUUCUAAAAAACUUCUGUCAUAUAUAUAUAAUAAUAUAAUAUAAUAUAAUAUUCUUUAAAAUAAUAAAUAAGAAUUAUUCUUUUAACUUUUUUUUAAUUUUUCUAAAAAACUUCUGUCACAUUAUCUCCAAUAACAAAAGAGUUACAUACUUUAUUCUUUGUUUUCUUAAAAACGUUUUUUACUGACGUUUAUGUCCUUUUUCUUAUAGGAAAAAAAUAUAUAUUGAAAAUAAAAAACAUGAGUAGAAACAAUACCAACAUGAAAUAUAAAAACAAAAAAUAAGAGAAAUAAGUGUUGAAGACAAUAAUAUAUUAAAGUGUAAAAUUAUUGAAUAUUAAUCUAGAAGAAUCUCAAAGGUAUCUAUUAUAAUAAUAAAGAAAAAUGAUUCUUUUUCACACACCUAAAUUUUUUACAUUUAUUUUAUUUACUUUUUAUCUUUUUUUUUUCUUAAAAAAAUAUAAAACUUUACACUGUGAAGAUCAAUUCAUCCUUCUAUUUUGUAUUAAAUAAAUGUAAAAUGUCAUAAUACUAUUACUCUUUAGAAAAAAAAAAAACCCAACACCGUGUAUUGAAAUUUCAAAGGUGCGGAUUCAAUACAUGUUUGUGCCAAUUACGAACUAGUUCAGAUGCAACAAAGUUCAAUACCACAACAGUCUAAACAUACCUUAGUUUUGUGACAAAGUUGAAUGCAACAGGAAUAGGAAACACACCUAAAAUACAACCUAUAAACAAUAGCAAACAUAAAUACAAACACAAAUGACAAAGAUGACAGUAAAUAAUAUGGUUACAACACUGUAAUAGGACUGGUUACAUUGUGUUUGCCAUCUGUCCAAAUCAAAUUCCCAAAUAAAGGUAACCCUCUGGGCGUUGCAAUUGCCUGCAGAAUAACCCAAAACCUCUUCUUUUCUCCAGUUCUCUUAAAAGUCAAGGAGGUUGGUAGGACACGAACCUUUAUCCCCUUGGGCCCAUGAGCAUUCACAACAUACGUGCCUGGAGGUCCAACGUUUGUAACAAUGCGAGUAACAUUUAUAGGCUUUGACGAAGGAUGAUGCACUGUAAUAGAAGGAUAAUUCAGAUCCUCGAUUCUGUAAGACUCGGGACAUUUGUAAGAGAUUUUAUAAUUGGAAAACAAUGUGAGUAGAGCUUGAUUGUAACCAGAAGCACAUAAGAAGUUCAAGUAAUCAGUUGUGUUUAGAUCAUAAACGAGUCCAGGGUCUAUUGCAAGGUUAGGCCGAACAAGUCCAGCUCCGUACUCGAAUGGAGUUGCUACCUUAUCAAAUGCAUCCCGGAUUGGUUUAUUCGUGUUAUCUAGAGUNGUAGCUGAAAUNAAUCAAGAACAUAGUUGUUNAUAAGACACCANGAUAACAUGUUGCGCUUGAACAUUUUGUAUUUUAUGAAUACGAGAAAACAUUUUGUUAAGCAUGCAUGGUGUACCUGUAGUCAUAAUAGCAGAUUUGAUAGCUGCGGGACUCCAGGUUGGAUGGUACGUUUUGAGAAGACCCGCAAUGCCAGCAACAUGAGGACAGGCCAUAGAGGUUCCUUGUUGCACAUUGAAAAGAGUCCUUCGUGUAUCUGAUGCAAGAUUAGAAGGACCCGCGGCUUGUGAAAAGGCAGCAAUUAUACCCACACCCGGACCAGUUAUGUC